rnacentral:lncRNA from 1 species
GAAACACAAGGAUGUGCAAGCUCAUUUGAUUCUUCAAGCUCAAGUGAGGGUAGUCAGGGGCAGCCUGGUUCAGAAGCUGGUAUACCUGGGGUAACAAAGGACCAAUAUGCACAGCUCCUGAUGCUUCUUCAACAGACUCAGCUUUCAGAAUCUCAGAUUCAACCAAACAUUAUGGGGUCUGCAAACUUUGCUGGUACUCUUCCUUCUAAUUUCAGUCCUUU